GACGAAUGCUGGCGGCGUGCUUAACACAUGCAAGUCGAACGGAAAGGCCCUGCUUUUGUGGGGUGCUCGAGUGGCGAACGGGUGAGUAACACGUGAGUAACCUGCCCUUGACUUUGGGAUAACUUCAAGAAACUGGGGCUAAUACCGGAUAGGAGCUCCUGCUGCAUGGUGGGGGUUGGAAAGUUUCGGCGGUUGGGGAUGGACUCGCGGCUUAUCAGCUUGUUGGUGGGGUAGUGGCUUACCAAGGCUUUGACGGGUAGCCGGCCUGAGAGGGUGACCGGCCACAUUGGGACUGAGAUACGGCCCAGACUCCUACGGGAGGCAGCAGUGGGGAAUAUUGCACAAUGGGCGGAAGCCUGAUGCAGCAACGCCGCGUGCGGGAUGACGGCCUUCGGGUUGUAAACCGCUUUCGCCUGUGACGAAGCGUGAGUGACGGUAAUGGGUAAAGAAGCACCGGCUAACUACGUG
rnacentral:rRNA from 1 species